AUUGAACGCUGGCGGAAUGCUUUACACAUGCAAGUCGAACGGCAGCACGGGGGCAACCCUGGUGGCGAGUGGCGAACGGGUGAGUAAUACAUCGGAACGUGCCCAGUCGUGGGGGAUAACUACGCGAAAGCGUAGCUAAUACCGCAUACGAUCUACGGAUGAAAGCGGGGGAUCGCAAGACCUCGCGCGAUUGGAGCGGCCGAUGGCAGAUUAGGUAGUUGGUGGGGUAAAGGCUCACCAAGCCUGCGAUCUGUAGCUGGUCUGAGAGGACGACCAGCCACACUGGCACUGAGACACGGCCCAGACUCCUACGGGAGCCAGCAGUGGGGAAUUUUGGACAAUGGGCGCAAGCCUGAUCCAGCCAUUCCGCGUGCAGGAUGAAGGCCCUCGGGUUGUAAACUGCUUUUGUACGGAACGAAACGGCGCUUUCUAAUACAGAGCGCUAAUGACGGUACCGUAAUACUAAGCACCGGCUACCUACGUGCCAGCCGCCGCGGUAAUAC
rnacentral:rRNA from 1 species